rnacentral:rRNA from 1 species
UACGUAGGGGGCUAGCGUUGUCCGGAAUCAUUGGGCGUAAAGAGCGUGUAGGCGGCCCGGUAAGUCCGCUGUAAAAGUCAAAGGCUCAACCUUUGAAUGUCAGUGGAUACUGUCGGGCUAGAGUCCGGAAGAGGCGAGUGGAACUCCUGGUGUAGCGGUGGAAUGCGCAGAUAUCAGGAAGAACACCAACGGCGAAGGCAGCUCGCUAGGACGGUACUGACGCUGAGACGCGAGAGCGUGGGGAGCGAACAGG